AAUAUUUAGAGUAAUAACAGUGACUAUUUAGACACUCGACAAAUCUUAACUUUCAUGAUGAGGGUAUUCAGCCCGUUCGGCCAGAGAGGUUUGGAGUGAAGAG